GACGAACGCUGGCGGCGUGCUUAACACAUGCAAGUCGAACGGUAAGGCCCUUCGGGGUACACGAGUGGCGAACGGGUGAGUAACACGUGGGUGAUCUGCCCUGCACUUCGGGAUAAGCCUGGGAAACUGGGUCUAAUACCGGAUAGGACUCCUGGCUUCAUGGUUGGGGGUGGAAAGCUUUUGCGGUGUGGGAUGGGCCCGCGGCCUAUCAGCUUGUUGGUGGGGUAAUGGCCUACCAAGGCGACGACGGGUAGCCGGCCUGAGAGGGUGACCGGUCAAACGGGGAAUGAGAUACGGCCCAGACUCCUACGGGAGGCAGCAGGGGGGAAUAUUGCCCAAUGGGCGCAAGCCUGAUGCAGCGACGCCGCGUGAGGGAUGACGGCCUUCGGGUUGUAAACCUCUUUCAGCUAUGACGAAGCGCAAGUGACGGUAGUAGCAGAAGAAGGACCGGCCAACUACGUGCCAGCCGCCGCCGUAA
rnacentral:rRNA from 1 species